AGAGUUUGAUCAUGGCUCAGGACGAACGCUGGCGGCGUGCUUAACACAUGCAAGUCGAGCGGAAAGGCCACUUCGGUGGUACUCGAGCGGCGAACGGGUGAGUAACACGUGAGUAAUCUGCCCUUCACUUCGGGAUAACGCCUGGAAACGGGUGCUAAUACCGGAUACGAUCAAGGUCUGCAUGGGCUCUUGAUGGAAAGUUUUUUCGGUGGAGGAUGUGCUCGCGGCCUAUCAGCUUGUUGGUGGGGUAAUGGCCUACCAAGGCUUCGACGGGUAGCCGGCCUGAGAGGGUGACCGGCCACACUGGGACUGAGACACGGCCCAGACUCCUACGGGAGGCAGCAGUGGGGAAUAUUGGACAAUGGGCGGAAGCCUGAUCCAGCAACGCCGCGUGAGGGAUGACGGCCUUCGGGUUGUAAACCUCUUUCACCUGUGACGAAGCGAAAGUGACGGUAGCAGGAGAAGAAGCACCGGCCAACUACGUGCCAGCAGCCGCGGUAAUACGUAGGGUGCGAGCGUUGUCCGGAAUUAUUGGGCGUAAAGGGCUCGUAGGCGGUUUGUCGCGUCGGGAGUGAAAACCCAGGGCUUAACCCUGGGCUGGCUUCCGAUACGGGCAGACUAGAGGUAUGCAGGGGAGAACGGAAUUCCUGGUGUAGCGGUGAAAUGCGCAGAUAUCAGGAGGAACACCGGUGGCGGAAGGCGGUUCUCUGGGCAUUACCUGACGCUGAGGAGCGAAAGUGUGGGGGAGCGAACAGGAUUAGAUACCCUGGGUAGUCCACACCGUAAACGUUGGGGCGCUAGGGUGUGGGGGUCCAUUCCACGGAUUCCGUGGCCGCAGCUAAACGCAUGUAAGCGCCCCCGCCCUGGGGAGUACGGGCCGCAAG
rnacentral:rRNA from 1 species